AGGAGUAAGGUCCUCUUCCCUCCUAUAAAUAGAUGGUUUGCUCCAUCACAAAUCAUCACAAGAACAAAAACAACACAUAAAGAAAAGAGUUUAUAGAAAAGGGGAGAGAAACCUUAUCUUCCACCUAAAGAUCAUCUAAGAGUUUCUUUUCAAGUCUUCAAGCCAUUGAAGAAGAAUAAACCAUUCAAGGAAGCAUCAUUUCUACAAUGAGUGGAGGAAAAGAAAAGAAGAGACUGUACUCGUCGGGAGUCUCAUCUCGCGCGCUUGCCACAAAGUAGACAAGCAUAACUGCAUAAGUGAUAGAUACCCAAACCCUAAGUUCUAGCUGAUGAAGACCUAUGUAGUAUGAUUGAUACAAAGGUAAAUUUGUUACAUUAACGAUGGUUGUCUUGUUUUAUCUAUCUCUUAUAAAUAUUGGAGUUUGGCUUGUGAAGUGAUUAGCCUAAGGGCUAAGGUGAGAAAUGGGUUAGAAAAACAUUAGUGGAUUAGAAUUAUUAAGAACCAGAAUAUCGGAAAAGAUCAGUGUGGUGUGGGCUUGAUUCACAUGAAGAAGAAGCGUAGGUUUGUUGAAGAGGGAAACAUACAAAAGUGAUGUUUGUUACAACGUGUUUUGUGGGAGUUUCGAGUUUAUAAUUAACUCUCUUGUGGCUGUGUGGGAGUUUUGAUGAAUUUGGAUAUUUUGUUGGGACCAAAUUAUAGUUAUUCUCUUUUGGGAAUUCUGUGUUAUUGAGUGGAUAAAUCCAUAUGGGUUCUCUGGUCAAUAAGAAAGUGUUUAUGUU